UACUACCGAUUGAAUGUUAGCAAGGUUUUUGGAUCGGUGCCACUUUAGUUGCUUCGGCAGCUUAACCGGUGCUGAGAAGAUGACCAAACUUGAUCAUUUAGAGGAAGUAAAAGUCGUAACAAGGUUUCCGUAGGUGAACCUGCGGAAGGAUCAUUA
rnacentral:rRNA from 1 species